rnacentral:rRNA from 1 species
GACGAACGCUGGCGGCGUGCUUAACACAUGCAAGUCGAACGGAAAGGCCCUGCUUUUGUGGGGUGCUCGAGUGGCGAACGGGUGAGUAACACUUGAGUAACCUGCCCUUGACUUUGGGAUAACUUCAGGAAACUGGGGCUAAUACCGGAUAGGAGCUCCUGCUGCAUGGUGGGGGUUGGAUAGUUUCGGCGGUUGGGGAUGGACUGGCGGCUUAUCAGCUUGUUGGUGGGGUAGUGGCUUACCAAGGCUUUGACGGGUAGCCGGCCUGAGAGGGGGACCGGCCACAUUGGGACUGAGAUACGGCACAGACUCCUACGGGAGGCAGCAGUGGGGAAUAUUGCACAAUGGGCGGAAGCCUGAUGCAGCAACGCCGCGUGCGGGAUGACGGCCUUCGGGUUGUAAACCGCUUUCGCCUGUGACGAAGCGUGAGUGACGGUAAUGGGUAAAGAAGCACCGGCUAACUACGUG